rnacentral:misc_RNA from 1 species
GAAAUGCGAUAAGUAGUGUGAAUUGCAGAAUUCAGUGAAUCAUCGAAUCUUUGAACGCACAUUGCGCCCCUUGGUAUUCCAUGGGGCAUGCCUGUUCGAGCGUCAUUUGUACCCUCAAGCUCUGAUUGGUGUUGGGUGUUUGUCCCCGUCUCCGCGCGUGGACUCGCCCCAAAGUGAUUGGCAGCCGGCGUACUGGUCCCGGAGCGCAGCACAUGUCGCGCAAACGAGUGCCUUGGUACGGCGGCGUCCAUAAGCCCCUCUCUCACGCUCUUGACCUCGGAUCAGGUAGGGAUACCCGCUGAACUUAAGC